GUUUACUAGUAUUUGUGUUACUGCAGUGAAGCGUUCGGACGCCGCCGCCGCCGCCGUUGAAACCUGUGGUCGCUCACUGACAUGAGGAACCGUGAGAACUGCGCAGAUGCUGUCGGUUGGUGUUGUGUAUGAGACAAGACAUCUUCAGCUCUAUCAGCUAAAUGGUCAUCAAGUGGCUAUGGGAGACAUAUUUUACACCACCUGCAUCACAGAACAGGAGAGGACGCCAGGAAUCCAUGAUUCUCUGUGGCCUUUCGCUGUUUUCUGGAAGUUCUCAGCCUCGGAAACGAUUAAUGCGUCUCAGUCUUGGAUCCAUGGCCU
rnacentral:lncRNA from 1 species